rnacentral:lncRNA from 1 species
UUGGAAAAUUAUUAUUUUGCAUGUAUUUAGACAAACAUAGAUCCAAGGUUUAUUAGGGUUGCAUGCACACUUAGGAAGUGUUAGAUUGCUCAAAACCCAACAGUGGUAUCAGAGCCUAGGCUUGCUUGUUUGAUACUUGAUGCAAAAUAGAGGAAAAAGUUGGAAUUGUUGCUGUCUGGGGUAUCAGAGCCUAGGCUUGCUUGUUUGAUACUUGAUGCAAAAUAGAGAAAAAAAGUUGAAAUUGUUGCUGUCUGGCUGAUGUACUCGCCGAUUCCAUGGGGGGACUCGCCGAGUACAAGGCAAAAUUCAUCCUACUCGCCGAGUAGGUUCGUGCACUCGGCGAGUAGAAUGAUCAGAGUGCAGAAUUUCGACUUUUGCUGCUGGAAAUGGACUAGAAACAUUACCCUAAACUGUUUUGGUGUUUUAAAACUUGUUUUAGUUGGUGUAAUGGUUGUUCUAAUCCAUUUACAAUAGCAUAUUAUCAAAUUCCAUGAUUUUUAUGUGUUCUUAUAAUUCUUGAAAUUUUGAUGAUCAUGUUCAUGUUCUUAUGAAUUUAGAAGAUGAUAGGAAUUAUUUGCUGAAUUGUUUAGAAUUAAUUCUUGAUCAUUUAUGCGUUUUAAUGGAGUCCAUAAUUUGUCCUCAAGUUAUGGAUAUCCAAAGGUCACUUUUCUUUAACACACAC